rnacentral:rRNA from 1 species
UAUAUCAAGAGUUUGAUCCUAGCUCAGGAUGAACGCUGGCGGCGUGGAUAAGGCAUGCAAGUCAAGGGGGCCCGCAAGGGCAACCGGCAGACGAGGUAGUAAUAAGUAGGUACGAACCUUCGAGUCAUGAAUAGCUCGUCGAAAGACGGGGUAAUACAUGAUGGUCCCUCCGGGGUAAAGAUUUAUCGCUCGAAGAUCGGCCUGCUCGGUAUCAGGUAGUUGGUAGGGUAAUGGCCUACCAAGCCUAUGACGCCUAGGGGAGCUGAGAGGCUGACCCCCACCGAUGGGACUGAGACACGGCCCAUACACCUACGGGUGGCUGCAGUCGAGAAUCUUCCGCAAUGGGCGAAAGCCUGACGGAGCGACGCCGCGUGAUGGAUGAAGUUCUUCGGGAUGUAAACAUCUUUUGCAGGGGAGGAAGUCUAUUGACGUUACCCUGCGAAUAAGAGGUUGCUAAACUCGUGCCAGCAGCAGCGGUAAUACGAGUGCCUCAAGCGUUAUCCGGAAUCAUUGGGCGUAAAGGGUGUGUAGGUGGUCAUGUUAGUCUCUCGUUAAAUUCUUCGGCUUAACCGGGGGCAUGCGAGGGAAACGGCAUGACUAGAGGAUGCAAGAGGUCUCUGGAACUCUAGGUGUAGCGGUGAAAUGCGUUGAUAUCUAGGGGAACACCAAAAGCGAAGGCAAGAGACUGGGGCACUCCUGACACUGAAACACGAAAGCGUGGGUAGCGAAUGGGAUUAGAUACCCCAGUAGUCCACGCCCUAAACGAUCUUCUCUAGCUAUUUGGAGUAUCGACCCUCCGAGUGGCGUAGCUAACGCGUUAAGAGAAGCGCCUGGGUAGUACGGCCGCAAGGCUAAAACUCAAAGGAAUAGACGGGGACUUGCACAAGCAGAGGAUCAUGUGGUUCAAUUCGAUGGUAAACGAAGAACCUUACCAGGGUUAGAAAUGCUGUUGAAGACUGGCAGAAACGUCAGUCGCCGCAAGGCAAUAGCACAGGUGCUGCAUGGUCGUCGUCAGUUCGUGGUUUGAAUUGUUCCCUUCAGUGGGGUAACGAACGCAACCCUCAUUGCCUGUUACAAGUGUCAGGCGAGACUGCCCAGCUUUC